AAAAUCUUAAGAAAAAAAAAAAAGAGUCUUUUAAGCCCAGGGUGUAAAGACACACUCUGAGUAAUAACUCAAAGGCACAGCU